GACGAACGCUGGCGGCGUGCUUAACACAUGCAAGUCGAACGGAAAGGCCUGCUUUCCCUUGUGGAUUGCGGGUACUCGAGUGGCUAACGGCUGAGUAACACGUUAGUAAUCUGCCCCCAACUUGGGUAUAAGCCUGGGAAACUGGGUCUAAUUCCCGAUAGGACUGCAGGGUGGUUCCUGUGGUGGACAACGAUUUUCUAGUGGUUGGGGAUGAGCUCGCGGCCGAUCAGCUUGGUGGUGGGGUAAUGGCCUACGAAGGCGGGGACGGGUAGCCGGCCGGGGAGGGGGGACGGUGGAAUUGGGACAGGGACACGGCCCAGACGGGUAGGGGAGGUAGCAGUGGGGAAUAAUGCAGAAUGAGCGGAAGCCUGAUGGAGCGAGGGUGCGUGGGGGAUGACGGGCUUGGGGUGGUAAACUCCUUGCGACCGAGAGGAAGCCACCUGGAUGGAAGGGUGGUGACGGUAGUGGUAGAAGAAGCACCGGCUAACUACGUG
rnacentral:rRNA from 1 species